rnacentral:rRNA from 1 species
CCCUUAGAUGUUCUGGGCCGCACGCGCGCUACACUGACGCAUUCAACGAGUCUAAAACCUGGUCUGAUAGGGCUGGGUAAUCUUUUGAAUGUGCGUCGUGAUUGGGAUAAAUGAUUGUAAUUCUUCAUUUUCAACGAGGAAUGCCUAGUAAACGCAAGUCAUCAGCUUGCAUUGAUUACGUCCCUGCCCUUUGUACACACCGCCCGUCGCUCCUACCGAUUGAAUGAUCCGAUGAAUAUCAUGGACUGAGAGUGCUAGAGUUUUCGGACUUCUGCACUUCUCGGGAAGUGAAGUGAAUCUUAUCAUUUAGAGGAAGGAGAAGUCGUAACA